rnacentral:rRNA from 1 species
AGGGCACCACCAGGAGUGGAGCCUGCGGCUUAAUUUGACUCAACACGGGAAAACUCACCCGGCCCGGACACUGGAAGGAUUGACAGAUUGAGAGCUCUUUCUUGAUUCAGUGGGUGGUGGUGCAUGGCCGUUCUUAGUUGGUGGAGUGAUUUGUCUGGUUAAUUCCGAUAACGAACGAGACUCUAGCCUACUAAAUAGAUCGUCGGCUUACAAACGCCGGCGAGACUUCUUAGAGGGACAGGCGGUGAUUCAACCGCACGAAACAGAGCAAUAACAGGUCUGUGAUGCCCUUAGAUGUCCGGGGCCGCACGCGCGCUACACUGAAGUGAUCAGCGUGCUUUUUCAACCUACUCUGUCAAGAGUGGGGAACCCAAUGAACCUUCUUCGUGAUUGGGAUAGGGGAUUGUAAUUAUUCCCCUUGAACGAGGAAUUCCCAGUAAGCGCGAGUCAUAAGCUCGCGUUGAUUACGUCCCUGCCCUUUGUACACACCGCCCGUCGCUACUACCGAUUGAAUGUUAU